rnacentral:rRNA from 1 species
GGGGGGGGGGGGGGGGGGGCCGGGCACGUGCGGGGCGAGCGAGGCGGGCGGGUCUGGGGGCGCCCGGGGGCGUGGCGCGUGGGGACCUGCCCUUAGGUUCGGCAUACCUCCCCGAAAGGGGUGCUAAUACCGGAUACUGUCUUCGGACCAAAGAUUUAUCGCCUUUGGAUGGGCCCGCGUUGGAUUAGCUAGUUGGUAGGGAAAAAGCCUACCAAGGCGACGAUCCAUAGCUGGUCUGAGAGGAUGAUCAGCCACACUGGGACUGAGACACGGCCCAGACUCCUACGGGAGGCAGCAGUGGGGAAUAUUGGACAAUGGGCGAAAGCCUGAUCCAGCAAUGCCGCGUGAGUGAUGAAGGCCUUAGGGUUGUAAAGCUCUUUUACCCGGGAUGAUAAUGACAGUACCGGGAGAAUAAGCUCCGGCUAACUCCGUG